rnacentral:rRNA from 14 species
GCUAAUUAAGGGCGUAUGGGGAAUGCCUAGGCUCUCAGAGGCGAAGAAGGACGUGAUAAGCUGCGAAAAGCUACGGGGACAGGCACAUACUGAUUGAUCCGUAGAUAUCCGAAUGGGGCAACCCGGCAUGUUGAAGACAUGUCACCAGCAAUGGAGCGAACCCGGAGAACUGAAACAUCUAAGUACCCGGAGGAGAAGAAAACAA